rnacentral:rRNA from 1 species
GAUGAACGCUGGCGGCGUGCCUAAUACAUGCCAGUCGAGCGAACGGACGAGAAGCUUGCUUCUCUGAUGUUAGCGGCGGACGGGUGAGUAACACGUGGAUAACCUACCUAUAAGACUGGGAUAACUUCGGGAAACCGGAGAUAAUACCGGAUGAUAUUUUGAACCGCAUGGUUCAAAAGUGAAAGACGGUCUUGCUGUCACUUAUAGAUGGAUCCGCGCUGCAUUAGCUAGUUGGUAAGGUAACGGCCUACCAAGGCAACGAUGCAUAGCCGACCUGAGAGGGUGAUCGGCCACACUGGAGCUGAGACACGGUCCAGACUCCUACGGGAGGCAGCAGUAGGGAAUCUUCCGCAAUGGGCGAAAGCCUGACGGAGCAACGCCGCGUGAGUGAUGAAGGUCUUCGGAUCGUAAAACUCUGUUAUUAGGGAAGAACAUAUGUGUAAGUAACUGUGCACAUCUUGACGGUACCUAAUCAGAAAGCCACGGCUAACUACGUG